UGAGGAAUAUUGGGCAAUGCCCGCAAGGGUGACCCAGCAACGCCGCGUGGAGGAUGAAUGUCGUAAGAUUGUAAACUCCUGUUAGAGGGGAAGAAUAGUACCGGUUGGACCGGUAUAUGACUGUACCCUCAGAGAAAGCCCCGGCUAACUACGUGCCAGCAGCCGCGGUAAUACGUAGGGGGCAAGCGUUGUCCGGAUUUACUGGGUGUAAAGGGCGCGCAGGCGGGAUAAAAAGUCAGUGGUGAAAUCCUACAGCUUAACUGUAGAACUGCCUUUGAUACUUUUAUUCUCGAGUUCGGGAGAGAGAGACGGAAUUCCAGGUGUAGUGGUGAAAUACGUAGAUAUCUGGAAGAACACCAGUUGCGAAGGCGGUCUCUUGGUCCGACACUGACGCUGAGGCGCGAAAGCCAGGGGAGCAAACG
rnacentral:rRNA from 1 species